rnacentral:rRNA from 1 species
GAUGAACGCUGACAGAAUGCUUAACACAUGCAAGUCUACUCGAAAGCUCUUCGGAGUGAUUAGGGUGGCGGACGGGUGAGUAACGCGUAAAGAACUUGCCCCCCAGACUGGGACAACUGUUGGAAACGACAGCUAAUACCAGAUAUUAUGAGACCUUGGCAUCAAGGACUUAUGAAAGCUAUAUGCGCUGGGGGAGAGCUUUGCGUCCUAUUAGCUAGUUGGUGAGGUAAUGGCUCACCAAGGCGACGAUAGGUAGCCGGCCUGAGAGGGUGAACGGCCACAAGGGGACUGAGACACGGCCCUUACUCCUACGGGAGGCAGCAGUGGGGAAUAUUGGACAAUGGACCAAAAGUCUGAUCCAGCAAUUCUGUGUGUUUGAUGAAGGCCUUCGGGUUGUAAAGGACUUUCAAUGGGGAAGAAGCAAGUGACGGUACCCAUAGAAGAAGCGACGGCUAAAUACGUGCCAGCGGCCGCGGUAAU